AGCACCAUUAAUUGCUCCGUGGCUCCUCCAGGAAGCUGCUGUGAGCACAGCUGUGUUUGGAGCUGCAGCAUCACGCGGUGCAGCCAUUGCAGCCACAGACCCCGGUGGGGAUCGGGUGCACAAGGGGGGGGUCUGCAAUCACCAGCUGCAAUUCCAGCUGCAAGCUGCACUUCUUUGCACGGCCUUUGGGCUGGGAGCAGCUGCAUCUGUGUGCAGCUGCAAUUGCAGUUUGCAGGGGCUGUUGCACUUUGCAGAGCCUGUUGUUAUUUGCAGCUGCAAUUGCAGUUUGCAGGGGCUGUUUUUGUUUGCAGCUGCAAGUGCAGCUUGCAAGGGCUGUUUUUAUUUGCAACUGCAAUUGCAGUUUGCAGGGCUGUUGCACUUUGGAGACCCUGUUGUUGUUUGCAGCUGCAAUUCCAGUCUGCAAGGGCUGUUGUUGUUUGCAGUGCAAUUGCAGUUUGCAGGGGCCGCUGCACUUUGCAGAGCCUGUUGUUGUUUGCAGCUGCAAUUCCAGUUUGCAAGGGCUGUUGCAGAUGCAGAUUGCAGGGGCUGUUGUUGUUUGCAGGUGCAAUUGCAGUUUGCAAGGGCUAUUUUUGUUUGUGGGUGCAAUUGCAGCUUUGCAGGGGCUGUUGCAAUUUGCAGAGCCUGUUGUUUUUUGCAGGUGCAAUUCCAGUUUGCAAGGGCUGUUUUUGUUUGCAGCUGCAAUUGCAGUUUGCAGUGGCUGUUGCACUUUGCAGAGCCUGCUGUUGUUUGCAGCUGCAAUUCCAGUUUGCAAGGGCUGUUGCAGAUGCAGCUUGCAGGGGCUGUUGCACUUUGCAGCUGCAAUUCCAGUUUGCAAGGGCUGUUGUUGUUUGCAGCUGCAAUUGCAGUUUGCAGGGGCUGUUGCAGAUGCAACUUGCAGGGUCUGCUGUUUGCAGGUGCAAUUGCAGUUUGCAACCGCAGUGUCUGUGUUCAGGUGCAGUUGCAGUUUGCAGGUGCAGCUCUCUUUGCAGUUCCAGUUGCAGUUUGCAGAUGCAAUCACUGCGUGCAGAUCCAAUUGUAGCUGCACUUGCAGUUGCAAUUAGGGCAGUUGCUGUGUGCAGGUGCAGCUGCAGUUCCAGAUGCAGUUGCAGCUGCAAUUCCACUUCCAGUUGCAUUUGCAAUUGCAGUUCUGAAUACAAUUGCAGUUGCAGAUGCAUUUGCAAUUGCAAUUCCAGUUGCAGUUCCAGUUGCAAUUUGGAAUUGCAGUUCCAGUUCCAGAUGCAAUUGCAGUUGCAAUUCCAGUUGCAGUUGCAAUUGCAGUUCCGGAUGCACUUCCAGUUGCAGUUUGGAAUUGCAGUUGCAGUUGAAGCUGCGAUUGCAAUUCCACUUGCAGUUGCAAUUGCAGACCCGGAUGCCAUUGCAGUUCACUGCAAAAAAGGGUUGCAUUGCAAAGAUAGAACAGGAUGCAUUGCAAAAACGGAAUGCAUUGCAAAGAUGGAAGAGGAUGUGUUGCAAAAAUGGGAUGCAUUGCAAAAAUGGGAUGCAUUGCAAAGAUGGAAGGGGCUGCAUUGCAAAAAAGGGCUGCAUUGCAAAAAUGGGAUGCAUUGCAAAAAUGGGAUGCAUUGCAAAAAUGGGAUGCAUUACAAAAAAGAGCUGCAUUGCAAAGAUACGAUGGGAUGCAUUGCAAAAAUAGAUGUGUAG
rnacentral:lncRNA from 1 species